CUAAGUUCAAAGAAAAACAAACUGUAGACAUACGAAAUUACCGCGUUGUCGACUGUGAUAUAGUGAAGUGUUUUUAUUACAUCUGCACCACCCUUGAAUGUAGGCCUAUAUAAAUAAAUAAAAACGAGUUGAUGAGCGUUCGAGAAUGACAAUACUUAUGAGUGCUAUUUCUUGUAAUAUCUAGCUAUUAAUGAGUAAACCAUAAUAGCCAUACACGAUUUUAUUGUAAUUUUACCUUUUGAAUCGAGUGCAUAUAACAUAAAAAAAUACAUAUUCCAUAUAAAAGCCUUAACCUCGUUAAAUACCCCACUUGUUAUACUAUAUGUGUCCUGUGUUUUUUUUUUUUUUUUCCUCGCUGAAGCACAGCUGGAAGUGGCCAUUGCACAGUCACCUCUAAAUAGCAUAUCGGUUUCCAAGGAUACCCGGGAGUAGCAUUUAAAUGACGUCAGUAUUCAUUGAUAGAGUAUUAUCGGCAGUAAUGAGUUCCUCUUCACCAAUAGGAUUCGAUAAGCAGUCUGUUUAGCGAUAGUGGAGUGGUGAAUGAAAGAAAGCUUGGAAAGAGAAAUGCAGCAGGGACUAGUCACACUCUACAAGCGCUGCAUGGCAUAAAGAGAACACACUGAGUCCCAGAGCUGUUUAAGACCGAGACUCAGGAUUUAAGCUUGUGGUGCGGUCCACCUGGGAGCCCUAGAUGAGUAUUUAAUUCUUCGACUGUGCAUGUGAGCCAGGAAAAGAGCGACUUUGAUAGACUCCAUUACCCAGAGAGGAGCGAGCAUUUCCUGAUACGCUCAGACAAAGUGCGGCACUUUGAAAGCUGUUUAGCACUGAUUGGAGUCCUUUCUGCUCUCCGCCAGAGAGAAUACCUCUUCAGGUGCCGGUGUCAAGCAUCUCUGAUACACGCUGCGCCUCCUCCAUGCUACGAGACCCUCCCCUGAUCAAUCAAGGUUGACAGAGAAGGCCUUUGUGCGACGCUCCAAGGAACAGAUGUCUGCCUGAGAGAGCGCUUCACCUGGAGCUGCUGGAUUAACCGUGGCCUCGCUUUGAUGGAUUAGCAUGUACGGAAAUUGCCCGAUUAUUGAUAUGAAAAUAUUUGCAAACGAGGGGAAACUGGUGACGUGAGGGGUGAGGGGCGCGAAGAUGCUAAGAGAGCUUAUCAGCCUUCCUUCCAACCUUGUCCCUCGCUUCCUACAGAAAGGGGAAAAAGAAGAGGGGUAGAAAAGACAGAUGAGGGCACGGGGAGGAGAAAGAGAACUGCUGUGUGUCAGCGUGGCAGUAUUCAGCUGCCCUUCAUGAAAUAUUGUUCACCAUUAUAUUAACAGAGCUGAGUGGAAAGAGAUAAGAGAGCUUCUGAAAUAGUAAGCAGAAUGUCCCGAGGAGAUAUUUCAAUCUUUAUUCUCUGUCGCUCUCCCUCUCUUUUUCUCCCUCUUACCCCAUCUUUUUCUUUCAUUUAGGGCAACGGGUGAAUGUGAAAUGUGCCGAGACCUUUAUAAAUGAAGACAGGGCCGGGGAAAUGAUGACAUCAUCAACUCCCACAUAAUUGCUUGAUUUGUCACUCUGUAAAAGGAGAGGAUCUGGGUGGGGGGGGGGGGGGGUGUUGGUCCCUUCAGGACAACCACUUUCAUUACAUUUUUUAACUAGCCACAGAGAGAGGGCUAAGGGUUUGCACGCCUGCAAAAAAAUAUGUUGAUCUUAUGCAUAAUUAUACAGCGUGCGUAAAGGCGUGCAAAAUUAUAUAACUGAAAUUACACAUUUGGGAGUGAGAUCAACCAAAGAGAGGCUUACCACUUCAGUCUGUUUGACCUCUUGGAGAGACGUUACUGUGACACACCACACUGUGGUGGAGGAAGAGAGAGAAAUAUGGAGGAAAAGAGUAUUUUAAAGGAGUAAUUGCAACUUCCAUGACAAAUAUAAAUAAAUGAAAUAAAAAUAAUGAUGUGUAUAUAUAUAUAUAUAUAUAUAUAUAU
ensembl:lncRNA